rnacentral:rRNA from 1 species
GAUGAACGCUGGCGGCGUGCCUAAUACAUGCAAGUCGAGCGAACAGAUAAGGAGCUUGCUCCUUUGACGUUAGCGGCGGACGGGUGAGUAACACGUGGGUAACCUACCUAUAAGACUGGGAUAACUUCGGGAAACCGGAGCUAAUACCGGAUAACAUUUGGAACCGCAUGGUUCUAAAGUAAAAGAUGGUUUUGCUAUCACUUAUAGAUGGACCCGCGCCGUAUUAGCUAGUUGGUAAGGUAACGGCUUACCAAGGCAACGAUACGUAGCCGACCUGAGAGGGUGAUCGGCCACACUGGAACUGAGACACGGUCCAGACUCCUACGGGAGGCAGCAGUAGGGAAUCUUCCGCAAUGGGCGAAAGCCUGACGGAGCAACGCCGCGUGAGUGAUGAAGGGUUUCGGCUCGUAAAACUCUGUUAUUAGGGAAGAACAAACGUGUAAGUAACUGUGCACGUCUUGACGGUACCUAAUCAGAAAGCCACGGCUAACUACGUG